rnacentral:rRNA from 1 species
AUUGAACGCUGGCGGAAUGCUUUACACAUGCAAGUCGAACGGCAGCACGGACUUCGGUCUGGUGGCGAGUGGCGAACGGGUGAGUAAUAUAUCGGAACGUGCCCAGUCGUGGGGGAUAACGUAGCGAAAGCUACGCUAAUACCGCAUACGAUCUACGGAUGAAAGCGGGGGAUCGCAAGACCUCGCGCGAUUGGAGCGGCCGAUAUCAGAUUAGGUGGUUGGGGAGGUAAAGGCUCACCAAGCCGACGAUCUGUAGCUGGUCUGAGAGGACGACCAGCCACACUGGGACUGAGACACGGCCCAGACUCCUACGGGAGGUAGCAGUGGGGAAUUUUGGACAAUGGACGCAAGUCUGAUCCAGCCAUUCCGCGUGCAGGACGAAGGCCUUCGGGUUGUAAACUGCUUUUGUACAGAACGAAAAGGUCUCUAUUAAUACUAGGGGCUCAUGACGGUACUGUAAGAAUAAGCACCGGCUAACUACGUGCCAGCAGCCGCCGUAA